rnacentral:tRNA from 1 species
GAAGGUAUAACUCAGUGGUAGAGUGUGUGCUUAGCAUGCACAAGGUCCUGGGUUCAAUCCCCAGUAUCUCCA